GUAGGUGAACCUGCGGAAGGAUCAUUACUCUUAGCUUAGGUUCUUGUAACUUAUUGCUAUACUCUAAACACCAAACCGUGCUCUUUUUUCCCACCCCACUCUUAUACCAUCCAUUCUAUAACUGAACACAUUGUGCAUAGGAUAGUCUACGACCAUCCGACACACAUCUGUACACCCCACCUCAUUUAGAUGUCAUGUCUUUAUGUGUUGUAGUGUACUUGUUGAACCACAGUACGAUUCAUAGUGCAUGUGCUCUGUUUAAUUACAGCGUACGUCUCUGUGCAUUCAUACACGUGAAUACAACUCCGAACAAUGGAUAUCUCGGCUCUC
rnacentral:misc_RNA from 1 species